CAGAAUUCAGACGUACGUGGUGCCCAGCUCCAGCGGAGGAGACAGUCAGUCUUCGCCCAGGCGGCCAGGGCGGCAGCGGAUUCCACGCGGGCGCUGUCCCUUCAGCACCUCCAGCACCAUCCUCUCCCCGGAACCUGCAAGCCCAGCCCCUUCUCUGGUCUCCUCCAGGUGUCACAGGUGGCCUCCCACACGCCCCCUCCUACGCCUUCAGGCAAAUGGAGAAGCUGUGGCAACCGUCCCCGUUCUGUGGCAGAUAUAUCGUGAGGAACGCAGGCGCCACGCUCACUCGUGGGAGAGACCAGGCCCCACCAUGGAUCUACGCAUCCAGACUCCCUGGCACCUCGACGCUACCCAAAUGCUUUCCUCAUCAAGGCCUCCUCGCUCCUGAGACCUGGCCCUGCCACACGCUCCAAGACCACCGACCCCUCUGCCCCCGUCCUCCCUUCCUGGGCACACGGCCACCCCCACAUCCCUGAGCAGGCAAGGAGCUCUUGCAUUUGCUGUCUCCUCUGCUCACCAGGAUGGCAGACACUGCGUCUUCUCAGGGAGGCCCUGACGUGGGGACCCCUCCCCACCUUCUCUGGAGCUGGUUCUCAUCCCGAUGGGAAACUGUUUUGCCUGGCGCUGCUGCCCCACUGCACAGAGCGCACAAGGUGUGGGGGGAGGGGUGGGCACAGACACUCACAGCCCCACCUAGCCCAAGGAAGGUGCAUGUCAACCUGUCAGAUGACAGAUGGCCACUUUGACCUGGGGCUGGACGUCGGUCGCUGGAGCCCCCAGCCAGAUGUGGCCUCAGUCACAGGCCUGGGGCUUGUGUGGCUCAGGGCUGCCGGGGAGACCCCAAGAGGACAUGGGCAGCUGGAGCUCAGGACUAGCGGAGCGGCCAGACGUCCUGCCCAUGCAGGCUGCAUCUGUGCCCUAGCUGCCCGCCCACCGACGUCCUGCCCACGCUCACCAGGGCCUUGCUUGGCCAGAUGUCCAGUAGGCUUUGGGCGGGGCCAUCCAGCCUUAGCAAGGCCCAUGGACUGUCACAGCCCUCCCCACCCCACAUCCAGGACAAGGUCACCUAGCGCCAUACCAGGUGGAUGGUUCAGAAGGGCUGGGUUCUCCAAGCUGCACACCAGGGGCUGCACAGAGCUGAAGUCCGGCCAGUCCCAAGGCUCCCAGGGCGGCCCGCUGCCCCACACUCUCCGGCAAACACGAAGGCGUCACCCUCGGCACCCAGCAGGAUCUGCCUCAGCCCUUGCAGAGGGCGGCGCUGGUGUGGGCUGCAGAGAGUAUGGCCCGCAGGCAGCCGCCAUGGGCCUGCCUGAGCUGAGUGGCUUUCAGCAGACCAGGCG
rnacentral:lncRNA from 1 species